CUUCGGGGCUCAGGGGGGGCCGGAAGAAAAACAACAAAAAAGCGGAAUCCGGGGGUUUUUCCCCCCAAAAAAACCUCCCCACCCCAAGCCGGGAUGGAGUCGGGGGGAUCCAAAACGCUGCCGGACCCGGCCGACGCGAUGACGUCAGACGACUUCGACAUCGUCAUCGAGGCCAUGCUCGAGGCUCCCUACAAGAAGGAGGAGGCCCAGCCCGGCCCCUCCAAGGCCCAACCGGAGCCGCCCCCGGCCCAGGUG